UUUGCAGUGUAAGAUACUUUCCUUAAAGUCCUUUACACAAACACCAUACAGCCAAAGAGUAAGUUGGGGUCAUAGUACUGGUUUCGUGUUGUCUCUCUUUGGACAUACUCACUAUCAGUCAGCCUCCAAAUCCCCACACACAG
ensembl:snoRNA